GGAGAUAUGGCUCACAGGGUAGAGCACAUGUUUAGCAAGUAUGUAGCCUGACCUCAAAUCUUAGUACUAUCA
rnacentral:tRNA from 1 species